CUGGAGGUAUCAGAAGUGCGAAUGCUGACAUAAGUAACGAUAAAGCGGGUGAAAAGCCCGCUCGCCGGAAGACCAAGGGUUCCUGUCCAACGUUAAUCGGGGCAGGGUGAGUCGACCCCUAAGGCGAGGCCGAAAGGCGUAGUCGAUGGGAAACAGGUUAAUAUUCCUGUACUUGGUGUUACUGCGAAGGGGGGACGGAGAAGGCUAUGUUGGCCGGGCGACGGUUGUCCCGGUUUAAGCGUGUAGGCUGGUUUUCCAGGCAAAUCCGGAAAAUCAAGGCUGAGGCGUGAUGACGAGGCACUACGGUGCUGAAGCAACAAAUGCCCUGCUUCCAGGAAAAGCCUCUAAGCAUCAGGUAACAUCAAAUCGUACCCCAAACCGACACAGGUGGUCAGGUAGAGAAUACCAAGGCGCUUGAGAGAACUCGGGUGAAGGAACUAGGCAAAAUGGUGCCGUAACUUCGGGAGAAGGCACGCUGAUAUGUAGGUGAAGUCCCUCGCGGAUGGAGCUGAAAUCAGUCGAAGAUACCAGCUGGCUGCAACUGUUUAUUAAAAACACAGCACUGUGCAAACACGAAAGUGGACGUAUACGGUGUGACGCCUGCCCGGUGCCGGAAGGUUAAUUGAUGGGGUUAGCGCAAGCGAAGCUCUUGAUCGAAGCCCCGGUAAACGGCGGCCGUAACUAUAACGGUCCUAAGGUAGCGAAAUUCCUUGUCGGGUAAGUUCCGACCUGCACGAAUGGCGUAAUGAUGGCCAGGCUGUCUCCACCCGAGACUCAGUGAAAUUGAACUCGCUGUGAAGAUGCAGUGUACCCGCGGCAAGACGGAAAGACCCCGUGAACCUUUACUAUAGCUUGACACUGAACAUUGAGCCUUGAUGUGUAGGAUAGGUGGGAGGCUUUGAAGUGUGGACGCCAGUCUGCAUGGAGCCGACCUUGAAAUACCACCCUUUAAUGUUUGAUGUUCUAACGUUGACCCGUAAUCCGGGUUGCGGACAGUGUCUGGUGGGUAGUUUGACUGGGGCGGUCUCCUCCUAAAGAGUAACGGAGGAGCACGAAGGUUGGCUAAUCCUGGUCGGACAUCAGGAGGUUAGUGCAAUGGCAUAAGCCAGCUUGACUGCGAGCGUGACGGCGCGAGCAGGUGCGAAAGCAGGUCAUAGUGAUCCGGUGGUUCUGAAUGGAAGGGCCAUCGCUCAACGGAUAAAAGGUACUCCGGGGAUAACAGGCUGAUACCGCCCAAGAGUUCAUAUCGACGGCGGUGUUUGGCACCUCGAUGUCGGCUCAUCACAUCCUGGGGCUGAAGUAGGUCCCAAGGGUAUGGCUGUUCGCCAUUUAAAGUGGUACGCGAGCUGGGUUUAGAACGUCGUGAGACAGUUCGGUCCCUAUCUGCCGUGGGCGCUGGAGAAUUGAGGGGGGCUGCUCCUAGUACGAGAGGACCGGAGUGGACGCAUCACUGGUGUUCGGGUUGUCAUGCCAAUGGCACUGCCCGGUAGCUAAAUGCGGAAGAGAUAAGUGCUGAAAGCAUCUAAGCACGAAACUUGCCCCGAGAUGAGUUCUCCCUGACUCCUUGAGAGUCCUGAAGGAACGUUGAAGACGACGACGUUG
rnacentral:rRNA from 1 species